GACGAACGCUGGCGGCGUGCUUAACACAUGCAAGUCGAACGGUCAAGCGAGUGCUUGCACUCGUGGAUCAGUGGCGAACGGGUGAGUAACACGUGAGUAACCUGCCCAUCACUCUGGGAUAAGCACUGGAAACGGUGUCUCAUACUGGAUACGACCAACCCUUGCAUGGGGUGUUGGUGGAAAGGUCUAUCGGUGAUGGAUGGACUCGCGGCCUAUCAGCUUGUUGGCGGGGUAAUGGCCCACCAAGGCGACGACGGGUAGCCGGCCUGAGAGGGUGACCGGCCACACUGGGACUGAGACACGGCCCAGACUCCUACGGGAGGCAGCAGUGGGGAAUAUUGCACAAUGGGCGAAAGCCUGAUGCAGCGACGCCGCGUGAGGGAUGACGGCCUUCGGGUUGUAAACCUCUUUCAGCAGGGAAGAAGCGAAAGUGACGGUACCUGCAGAAGAAGCACCGGCUAACUACGUG
rnacentral:rRNA from 1 species